rnacentral:rRNA from 1 species
UACAGAGGUCUCAAGCGUUGUUCGGAUUCAUUGGGCGUAAAGGGUGCGUAGGCGGCGAGGUUAGUCGGAUGUGAAAUCCCAGGGCUCAACCCUGGAACUGCAUUCGAUACUGCCUUGCUAGAGUACUGGAGAGGAGACUGGAAUUUACGGUGUAGCAGUGAAAUGCGUAGAUAUCGUCAGGAAGACCAGUGGCGAAGGCGAGUCUCUGGACAGUUACUGACGCUGAGGCACGAAGGCCAGGGGAGCAAACGGG